GAUCAUGGCUCAGGACGAACGCUGGCGGCGUGCUUAACACAUGCAAGUCGAACGAAGAGCGAUGGAAGCUUGCUUCUAUCAAUCUUAGUGGCGAACGGGUGAGUAACNCGUAAUCAACCUGCCCUUCAGAGGGGGACAACAGUUGGAAACGACUGCUAAUACUGCAUACGAUCCAACCUCGGCAUCGAGGAUGGAUGAAAGGUGGCCUCUAUUUAUAAGCUAUCACUGAAGGG
rnacentral:rRNA from 1 species